rnacentral:lncRNA from 1 species
CCCUUCUUCCGUCCUUUCAGGAUCAGCCUGCUCUCUGCAGGGCGCUUCCAGGGACAAGGCCUCAUGAGGACAGCCCACUCCAUAAACAGUGGAAUGCUGCCUUGAUCAAGUGCAGCCUCCUUCCCAGCUCUGCAAUGCAAGCGCACCCUGGACCCUGACUUCCCCAUCCUCCUUUUAUGCAGUCUCAAACUGAUGUGUCAUCGCUCCACAGUCCCUCAAGCCCCCAAGCUUCUCCCUCCUGCUUGGCUCCUUCCCUGGCCCCCAAAGAAGGCUGACAGGAGAAACUAAACUGAAAUAAAGAG